CUGCGGCGGAUUAGGUAGUUGGUGGGGUAACGGCCUACCAAGCCGAUGAUCCGUAGGGGGCGUGAGAGCGUGGCCCCCCACACUGGCACUGAGACACGGGCCAGACUCCUACGGGAGGCAGCAGUGGGGAAUAUUGCACAAUGGGCGCAAGCCUGAUGCAGCAACGCCGCGUGAGGGACGAAGGCCUUCGGGUUGUAAACCUCUUUUCUGAGGGACGAGGAAGGACGGUACCUCAGGAAUAAGUCUCGGCUAACUACGUGCCAGCAGCCGCGGUAAAACGUAGGAGGCGAGCGUUAUCCGGAUUUACUGGGCGUAAAGCGCGCGCAGGUGGCUUCGUGAGUCGGACAUGAAAGCUCCUGGCUUAACUGGGAGAGGCUGUUCGAUACUGCGGGGCUUGAGGUUGGGAGAGGGACGCGGAAUUCCCGGUGUAGUGGUGGAAUGCGUAGAUAUCGGGAGGAACACCAGUGGCGCAAGCGGCGUCCUGGCCCACACCUGACGCUGAGGUGCGAAAGCGUGGGUAGCAAACAGGAUUAGAUACCCUGGUAGUCCACGCUGUAAACGAUGUCAACUGGGUGUCGGUAGUUUUACACUAUCGGUGCCGAAGCUAACGCG
rnacentral:rRNA from 1 species